ACGCUCAACACCUACGGGGGGCAGCAGUGGGGAAUAUUGCACAAUGGGGGAAACCCUGAUGCAGCGACGCCGCGUGAGUGAAGAAGUAUUUCGGUAUGUAAAGCUCUAUCAGCAGGGAAGAAGAUGACGGUACCUGAGUAAGAAGCCCCGGCUAACUACGUGCCAGUAGCCGCGGUAAUCUGAGCGGGCUGGCAAGGC
rnacentral:rRNA from 1 species